UCCUCUGAUCCAUUAACAGUGUAUUAGAGAUACCCGUUCCUGCAACUUCGAAACCCGCUCAAAUUGAGCGGGUUGAAAAUCUCUAGCGCGAUCGCGAAAAAAAUGUGAAGCAGGCUGUACGCGCGAUUUGUUUAGCGGAAUCUGAGCUUAUAAUCCCUUCUUCUCCCUUCUUCCCACGCACGAAUGAUUCGCCCGAAGCUUUCUCUCCCACCUACCCUCUAUUCACACGAGCACAGGAGGCGAAACCUUUUUUUCGCCAUCUCCUUUCGUGACGGCAGCAGCGAUCUAACGCCCGCUACACUUUGAAUCCCUUCGAUCGCGUGGACAACAGUCCUAGCCGGAUACCUCACUUCCUCUGCCCUAGCCGACGACGACAGUCUUCUAAUCUUUUGAUAUUUUACCUGUAUGGAGGCAAGUUAUGGAGCAGUACCACAAAGAAGCCUUGUAAUAUAUCUUUACCUUUUGCUGCAAUAUUUUGUUUUUGGCAGACUUACUAACCAAAAUUUUAUUAAUUUUAAAAGAUAUAUUUAGCCAUUUCUUUAGGUGAAUGAUAGAUGCUACCCUUAAGUUUGUAGCAGUUUCCUUUAUGCCAUUAUGAUCAAUAUGUUUAGCCUUCCUUUUGGGAUUUAGUUUUUAUUUCAGUCCUCGCUUAACUCUGUUUCAAGGUUUUCUAACAAAUCUCUAUAAAUAACAUCUUGCAAUUACCAGUAUUAUUGCUCUAAACAAGUCUAUCGUUGAGGUUUUUAUUCAAUUGCCCAAUCUUUCUUGUGCAAUUGAUGUAGGUUGCUUUAGCAUCUAGAGUUUUAAUGCAUAUCUAAUAUGUGAUGUACAAAAUCAGUAUAUACACAAAACCUUGCAAAGCACGGACUUUUAAUUUUAAUAGUUUCUGGUCGGAGAGGAAACUAGAGAAAAUAUAAUGUUUUAAUUCAAAUAACACUUCAAUAGUUCUAUGCUAGAAUAAUUCACAAUAGUUAUGAACCUUGAAAACCAUAAAACCUAAUUAAGAAUCAAUGAAUUCAUUGUAAUCUAGAUUGUAUUUAGCAUGACUAAUUAAAUGACACCUGAAAAACACUUACAAGAUUAAUCGAAAAUAUCUGAAAAAAACCUUUUGAACUAACUAUUCAUUAUUCCAACAAUGAAGCAACUUGAAGACUGUGCUGCAUUUUAGUGUUCUGAGAUUUCUCUAGACUUGAGCCGAAUGUCUACUUACAUUUCUGUCUAUAAAUAAGAACUGUAUUCCCAUUUGCCUGUUCUUACGAGGAACUUCUCUAUUUAUUAUUAAGACCUGUCGUUUCCAGCACUCAUUUCUAGUAAAAAGUAAUGUAUAGCCUUAAAGCUGAAGAUUGUAAAAUAGUUUUAUCUGUAUCUAUAUCUUUUAAAGUUAUUAUGCUUUGGUUAGUAAAGCCGUGGUGUCAACCAUGAAUAAAUUUGAAUUCAAUAUGAGGACCCAUAUAAAUCUUUUAAUGCUGUAUUUUAUUUUUCUUAUUUAAAUUGAAAAUCCAUUAUAAUAUUGUUCAACAGUUUUAUUAUUCCAAUCUAAAAUUUCCAUUGUCGUCUACCUGCCUACUAUUCUCCUUGUAAGUGAGUCCGCUUGGGUAGUUUCCAUUUACCAAACAGGUCUGUUCAGUUGGGACAAUGUUAAUAAGCUACUCCUAGUACGAGUUGAAAUUGAUUUGAACUAGGCAUGUAGAUUAAGGUUUUGUUUGGAGAAGCUAGCUUGUUAUUUUCUAAAGAGCAAAUUUUUAAUGCAAAUUUUUUUAGUUAAAAUAUUUUGUACUAAAAAAUUGCUUGAAAAAUUAAUAAAAAAGUCGUUCCAAAAGAAGCCUAAAUCAAGAUAACUCUUAAGUCAUCUACGUCUAUAUGAAUGACUGCAUUGGUGGAGCCAGGGAAAGCUUGCAAUGACUAUUGCUUCCAUAGAUUUAAGAUCCCUCAUGUAAUUAUCGGUAGUAUUGAAGCUUCUUUUUUAAACCUUUUUGAAGCGUGGACGGUAAUUUGAAAUUAAAGCAUCAUCAAAAUUGUGAAUGAUGUACCACAAAUAAUUAAAAAAUAUAACGUCGAAAUAAUAUAAUGAAAAUAUAAACAUUUAUGUGAUUUGGAUUUAGCCAUCAUGAUUUUUGUGAUUUCGAUUUAUACAUGACUACUUUCAAGGAAUUGGAAAGGAAAUCCAUCCACUUGAAAAUAUUGAAGUAAAAAUAAUACUGAAUAAA